GUUGUUUGGGAAUGCAACCCGACUCCGAGAAGACCAGACCCCGGCGCGACGGGGGCCGUUACCGGCCUCACACCGUUCACGGGCUGAGCCUCGAUCAGAAGGACCCAGGCCCCCGAUCGACACCGGGCAAAGCGGUCUUCUAUACGCCACA